GGAAAUAGCUCAGCGGUAGAGCCUUCGCCUGAUAUGGGAAGAGACCCGGAUUCGACUCCCGGCUGCUUCCU
rnacentral:tRNA from 1 species